GAGGUUCUCAUUGCAGCUCUGAUAUAAUGACACUUUUAGCAGAAACUCUUUCAGGAGCCUGGAUUAAAAAGCAGGAAGAAGAGGGUCCCAGCAGAUGAAGGAUUUAAGGGUUGUGACAAAAGAUGAAAAAUCGAAGAGUACAUUUCCCAUGGAAAAAUCAAACUAACACAGAGAACCGUCUAGCCAAUAUUCAAUAUUGCAUACACAUAUCCAAAGAAUGCCCUGUAGAGAAUUGGAAUUAAGUCUUUACAUGCAUGUAUUUCACUUGUAAUGUGUACAUUUACAUUUUAUGCAAAGAACCUUUAUAUUAAAACAAGGAUUUUAUUUUCCACACA